UGGUACUUUCUGCAAAUGUUCUAGAACCUUCCCGUGUUUAGAAAUAUAGCCUGUAAAACCAUUAAUGUCACCAUUUAAAAAUGGAAUUGUAGACUUCUUACCUUUUUUGAGGAAUUUCAUUUUUUCCAGCUUUGGAGUCCCUUGUCCUAGCAGUUGAGUUUUCUUGCACUGCAUCAUGCUGCUAACUGUCUCAGGGCAAAUAUCACUGUGGCUUCUGUUAUUUUGUUUGUAGAAAAGCGGACUUCCUUUAGGAGUGUCCGAUACAGUUGACAGAGACCGAGACAUGGAUUUUUGUUUGCCGGAUGAUUUCAUGACAUACAUUUUUUCACACGCAUCUGAGGGUAAUCCAGAUCUCUGCGUCUGCUCAGGCUGAGAAAGAAGUUUGUUUGGAACUUUGUGACUGUAACUUAAGACAGGGGAUGAUUUCAUAAUUACGGGUGAUUCCUUCAAAAUGUCCUCUGAUUUGGUGCUCGUAGGGACGUUUUUGUGACAGGAGCCAAAGGUUUGCGUUCUGGGUUCACAGCAAUCUCUGUUUUGGCAGAAAUCAUGGCCGAACAUUGGUGUAUUACAGUGGUUACAAAACCGUCCGAGUUCAUUGUUUUGGUCCAAAUCUUCACAAAGUCCGACCUCCUCCAGUGCUGUAAGGAGGUCAAUGCUACCUUUUUCAAAAGGGACAGGGUUUCUCAGUGCCGCCAGGUAGGAUUCCCUGUACCUGAAUUUGUUAUCUUGUUCUAAAAGGUCCUCCUCCAGCUUUCCCUGGCUGCAUGGCAUACAAGGCUCCUCUGCAUACUGAAAGGUGCGUCCGCAGAAAACGGUGCUCACCAUGGUUGUACAUUGAGGUGGUCUGGCAGGUUCAAUGUAGGCAGAAUUUGCUGGAUUUAAUUGGCCUCCAUGUUUCAACACAUUCCCUUUUGGAACAUCCACCAAAUCGACAUAAUCACCUUCAAUUUCUGGAUAGUUGCGGCUAUCCCAUGUGUUCGGGGACACCCAACCGACAGGUUUGACAAGAGAUUUAGAAUAGGAUCUGGGGAGUCUUUUAUAAUGUUCUAAUUUAACAAGUUUGGAAGAACAAUCCACAGGUCUUAGAGAUGCAGACACUUUAUCUUUUAACGGAAGAACCCGUGCCUCCAAUGGCAGAGUGGAUGCGCCGUAAGUGCAUGGAGAUGAUGUAGGCUUUGGCACAGGAGGAACUUGUCGAUGAGUGGUUAUAACCUUAGGCUUAUCCAAAAACUCUGGGAUGGCCACCUCUGCCCAUGGCAAUUUUAUUACUCCUUGAUCAGUACUGAGUAAGCAGCGUGAUAGAGGAGUCCCUUGACGCCCGUCAUUGAUGUCUUUCAGCCAGUCCUCUGUGAAAAUGCAUGGGUACGAAGUCUCAGGGAUCGGGAUUUCCUCCACUUCCCGACAUCCGGCUUCCAGGAGGCUUUUGACGACAACACGAGCUGCCUGGUCACCAAAAGGCUCUACUUGGAGAUAGAAAUCUCCAGGACGCAGCAGCAAAGGGUUCACAGGUGCUAACUGGAUGACUGUUUUGUCAUGGAGGCAGAGAGGCCAACCCUCACAGCGGAAAACCACAUCCGAGUAUCCAGCCUGAAAAUGAAAAAGCAGAGUUUGAGGUGUUUGGAAGGGAUGAGGAAAUCGAGUAGGCAUUGCAAGGCAUCGCCAUGGUAACGUUCCUCAAUGGUGCGGAAGAGCUGGCUGAUGACGAUGGGCGCUGUGACGUCGAAAGGCCCACAAAGAAGCCAGUUUUCAGACCUUUCUUCAUUGAGGCUGACAACCAGACCAGGACCAGGGCUUGACCCAGAGUAAACACACUGCAGCAGCUUCAAAGACCUCACACUGGUUAGCCUGGGGCUGAUGCUGGUGAGUCCGGUGUAUUCGUGGUGCACUGGGGACUGAGGUCAUAGCUGUUUUUCAUUAAACAACACUGUAAAGUAUUUAAGUCUGCUUAUGAAUUGUAUGGUUUUUAGAGUUUUUUUUUUAAACAUUUGAUCUGUUUGGGUUUAGUUUCUCUUGUAGAUAGUAAAUGUGCUAAGUAGAAAAGAAUGUUUCCCUCUUUGUGUGCACAUCUGUAACAAUAGAUUAUCUAAAGGAGAACAAAAUACCAGAGAAUGGCUCUUGAGCAGUAAUGCAUCACAGCUGCUUUACGCUCUACUGUAUGUGUGUGAGCCUGAUGUCACAGCUAUUUAAACAGCACUGCGAAGGUGCUUAAAAUAUUUCAUUUCCUGAUGAAGAGAUUUCUAUUCCUUCAAAGUUUGGUUUGGCACAUCUUGUCUUACCAGUGUAAAUGACUUUAUCAUAUCAGUAAUGAUUCAAAGUGCAAUCAACUCUCCGCUGUGUUCUCUUUUGAUGAAUGGUUUCCACUUUUGAUGAACGGUUUCCAUUA